rnacentral:tRNA from 1 species
CUUAAAAUCCGUUGGCUUUAUUGACCGNGAGGGUUCAAGUCCCUCUACCCCCA